rnacentral:rRNA from 1 species
AUUGAACGCUGGCGGAAUGCUUUACACAUGCAAGUCGAACGAUGAACCUUAGCUUGCUAAGGGGAUUAGUGGCGAACGGGUGAGUAAUAUAUCGGAACGUGCCUUGUAAUGGGGGAUAACUAGUCGAAAGAUUAGCUAAUACCGCAUACGCCCUGAGGGGGAAAGUAGGGGAUCUUCGGACCUUACGUUAUAAGAGCGGCCGAUAUCUGAUUAGCUAGUUGGUGGGGUAAUGGCCUACCAAAGCGACGAUCAGUAGCUGGUCUGAGAGGACGACCAGCCACACUGGAACUGAGACACGGUCCAGACUCCUACGGGAGGCAGCAGUGGGGAAUUUUGGACAAUGGGCGCAAGCCUGAUCCAGCCAUUCCGCGUGAGUGAAGAAGGCCUUCGGGUUGUAAAGCUCUUUCGCAAGGGAAGAAAACUUACCAUCGAAUAAAUGGUGAGGCUGACGGUACCUUGAUAAGAAGCACCGGCUAACUACGUG